rnacentral:rRNA from 1 species
UAGUCAUAUGCUUGUCUCAAAGAUUAAGCCAUGCAUGUCUAAGUACAAGCCUCACUAAGGUGAAACCGCGAAUGGCUCAUUAAAUCACACCUAAUCUACUGGAUAGUUAACAGUUACUUGGAUAACUGCGGUAAUUCUGGAGCUAAUACAUGCACAAAGCCCCGAACUUACGUGAGGGGCGCUUUUAUUAGAUCAAAACCAAACGGCUUCGGCUGUAUCCUUGGUGACUCUGAAUAACUUUGGGCUGAUCGCAUGGCCUAGCGCCGGCGACAUAUCCUUCGAAGGUGUGCCCUAUCAACUGUCGACUGUGGCAUAGACGCCCACAGUGGUUUUGACGGGUAACGGGGAAUCAGGGUUCGAUUCCGGAGAGGGAGCCUUAAAAACGGCUACCACAUCUAAGGAAGGCAGCAGGCACGCAAAUUACCCAAUGACCGAAGGUCGAGGUAGUGACAAAAAAUAACGAUACGGGACUCAUCUGAGGCCCCGUAAUCGGAAUGAGUACACUUUAAAACCGUCCCCGAGGAUCUAUU